rnacentral:rRNA from 1 species
CCGGCUGAUUCGGGGUCCGAUUCAGCCAUGCUAGUUGUACGGGUUUAGACCCGUAGCAUAGCUCCGUAACACGUGGUCAAACUACCCUCUGGACCGGGAUACCCUCGGGAAACUGAGGUCAAUCCCAGAUACUGCUUUCAUGUUGGAAUACAGAAAGUCGGAAACGGUCCGCCGCCGGAGGACGUGACUGCGGCCGAUUAGGUAGACGGUGGGGUAACGGCCCACCGUGCCGAUAAUCGGUACGGGUUGUGAGAGCAAGAACCCGGAGACGGUAUCUGAGACAAGAUACCGGGCCCUACGGGGCGCAGCAGGCGCGAAACCUUUACACUGCACGCCAGUGGGGAUAAGGGUUACCCCG